AUCUGAUGACAAGUCCCAAAUAGAACGAAACGCGUGUCCUGGAU
rnacentral:hammerhead_ribozyme from 1 species